rnacentral:misc_RNA from 1 species
GAGGAAGAACGCAGCGAAAUGCGAUACGUAAUGUGAAUUGCAGAAUUCAGUGAAUCAUCGAGUCUUUGAACGCACAUUGCGCCCCCUGGUAUUCCGGGGGGCAUGCCUGUCCGAGCGUCAUUGCUGCCCUCAAGCACGGCUUGUGUGUUGGGCCUCCGUCCUCCUCCCGGGGGACGGGCCCGAAAGGCAGCGGCGGCACCGCGUCCGGUCCUCGAGCGUAUGGGGCUUCGUCACCCGCUCUUGUAGGCCCGGCCGGCGCUUGCCGACACAUCAAUCUUUUUUCCAGGUUGACCUCGGAUCAGGUAGGGAUACCCGCUGAACUUAAGCAUAUCAAUAAGCGGAGGA